CCGAGAUAGGGUGUCCGGCUCGCCCGGCGCCCGACCUCCCAACCCUGUGUCUACCCAACCGACCCAUGUUGCUUUCGGGCGGACCGGCCUCCUGUCCCCCCCUCUCUUGUGGGGGACGGCGGCCGCCGGGACCGUCACACGUCCUGGAGCGUCGUCCGCCGACGGCCCAACCGAACACAUUCUUGUCGUAACCUGUCGUCUGACCACACACGUACACGUCGGUGUACCACGUAAACUAAAAAUUUACAAGCA
rnacentral:misc_RNA from 1 species